rnacentral:lncRNA from 1 species
GAAUUCUGAACUUCUUCUUGUGUUGCAGAAUUUUCUAUCAAUAUUUCAUCACAAAAAGUCGUUGCAGAGCCUUGCUUUGAGUCUGGCUUUGCUGGAGCAGGUGAGCUAUCUCAUGUCAUUCUUCGAUGGUUUUCUCUGCUGAUAAAAGUUAGAUAGGAGAAUGAAAAGGGUAUGAUGCUUAUAGCUGCGCAGAAACACAAGGAGAGAAUGAAAGACCUUUGGUCCUGUUUGAUACAAAUUCUCUUCCCUUCUGCCUGCAGGAUUCCCUCCUCCUCCUCAAAGUGAGCCCCAAGCCUGUGUCCCCCGAUCCCUGCAGCUCCCCACUGCAGCGGGCAAAUCCGGCCCGCGACCACCCUCUGGGAUCCCCGCUUUGGAUGGGGCAGCGUGGAAAGAAGGUGCACGGGCUGCUGUUGAGGCUUUGCUUUAGCAAUCCAGCAUAGAAGCAAACAGCAUGACUAGAGCCAAGGAGAGGAGUUGAGCGAGUGAAUAACGACAGCACAAAUCAGCAGUAAAGAAGCAGUCUGCUGCAGCACCUGUACUGAGAGCCCGAGGCCAGCGAGGAAAGUGGCAGAAAGAUUGCAGUGGGAAAUGGCAUGGGGAGCACCAUAUGCACUGAGCACCGAAACGCUGAGAAUGGCAUUUUCAGCUCUCCUAAAGAUGGGGAAAUGUCUGUGUCCUUGAGUAAGGUCAAAGAUGGAUAGACCAAGACCAUACUUCUAAUGUCAGGCGGAAACCUCGCUGUGCCGGGGCUGUUCCAGUGCUGUACCCUCGGAGUGAUGUGCUGCAGCCAGGACCGGCUGAGUUUUUCACAAGGCAGAAGAAGGAAAGCGUUUGGGAUCAGCACUGAUCUCCUCGCAUCCACCGCUGCACCUCCAGGACGUUUAGGUAAACACAGAAAAAGAAAAGCAGCCUCCUCGUCUGCAACAUGGGGAUGAUGCUGAGCACCUCCAGCUGAAAAAGGUGAGGCAAGCCCAGGUUUAUUUAUUUGAAUAACUAGAAAAAUGCUGGGGGGUUCCUUUGCCUGUCCCCUCCUACAGCUGGCGGUGGUCAUU